CGGUGAGGUAUCGCGGGUGUCCCGAGGGAUAAUCUCCGUGCCGUAGGAUCCAAUGAACUUCUUCUGUGCGCGCCUGAAACAAACGGAUUACGCAUCGUAUGUGCCAACAAAUAGGGGUCUUCAGUCGAUUCUUCACUCUAAUCGUGAUUGAUAUAUAAAUAUAUGAGCACUAAUGGACACAGAGAUUCUUUACCGUUAUACGAUUUAAGCUCCUGUUAUAUAUUGGAAAAAGUAUUAAUACCACUUUGACAAAAAGUAUUGAUGCCACUUUAGCUGGGGAUACGAUUCUUUACCUCUGAAGUACAGACAUAUUGAAUCGCAGAAACCAAAGCGGAAAUAUAUAUAUUUAUUUAUUGCCUUUUGCCCUGAGUUCCGUAAAGCGGAUUUAUCUAUAGCAUACAUAACGUUUACUAUAGAAAAUGCGCGGGUUGGUUUCAGCGAUUUAAUCGUCACUGCGUCGGACUUUUACAAUAUAAAAGAAUAUUUUAAAAUAGAGAUAUUUGUCUUUUUAAAUAUAAUUUUCAAAAAUAAAACUUAUCCCCAUCUCCCAAUCAUCACAAAGACUUUAAAAUGUGGCUUUCUUAGCGAAAAAAGGUUGGAAAUCUUUAAGCUAGAGCCAUCGAAAAGCGAAUGUUUUACUUCUUUACUUAUUCGAACUAACAAAAUAUGCGAAAACGUAAAAUAUUCACCC